rnacentral:sRNA from 1 species
AUAUGUCGAGGCUGCCCUGGCGGACCAGGUCGGACAGGGCGGUGUCACGCUCGUAGACGACAAGCUCCACGUCAGGGCGGCUUUCA